rnacentral:rRNA from 1 species
UUUAACUGAAGAGUUUGAUCAUGGCUCAGAUUGAACGCUGGCGGCAGGCUUAACACAUGCAAGUCGAGCGGGCGAGGU